rnacentral:rRNA from 1 species
AGAAGCAAUAAUGUUAAUAUGAGUAACAAGAAUUAUUUCUCCUUGCAUACGUGUAUAUCAGAACGGAUGACCCACUGAUAGUUAUCAAAACUAACAUGCCCACAAACAAGAAUCCAUAGUAAAUUGUUAAUCCAACACAGGAAUGCAGAUAAAGGAAAGAUUCAAAAGAAGUAAAAGGAACUCGGC